UCCGUAGCUUGAUAUGCAAGUCUCUUGAGAAAUCCGCCAGCUUAACUGGUGGGCGUUCAGGGGAAACUGCAUUUCUAGGGACCGGGAGAGGUGAGAGGUACUGCCGGGGUAGGAGUGAAAUCCUGUAAUCCCGGUGGGACCACCUAUGGCGAAGGCAUCUCACCAGAACGGGUCCGACAGUGAGGGACGAAAGCUGGGGGGAGCAAACC
rnacentral:rRNA from 1 species